AGGAUUGUGGCUCAGUGGUAGAGCGCUUGCCUAGCAUGCAUGAGGUACCGGGUUUGAUCCUU
rnacentral:tRNA from 1 species